rnacentral:rRNA from 1 species
UACGAAGGGUGCAAGCGUUAAUCGGAAUUACUAGGCGUAAAGGGUGCGUAGGCGGUUCGUUAAGUCUGUCGUGAAAUCCCCGGGCUCAACCUGGGAAUGGCGAUGGAUACUGGCGAGCUAGAGUGUGUCAGAGGAUGGUGGAAUUCCCGGUGUAGCGGUGAAAUGCGUAGAGAUCGGGAGGAAUACCGAUGGCGAAGGCAGCCUUCUGGCAUAAUACUGACACUGAGGCUCGAAAGCGUGGGUAGCAAACAGG